UGGGGAAUAUUGGACAAUGGGCGCAAGCCUGAUCCAGCCAUGCCGCGUGUGUGAAGAAGGCCUUUUGGUUGUAAAGCACUUUAAGCGAGGAGGAGGCUACUUGGAUUAAUACUCUAGGAUAGUGGACGUUACUCGCAGAAUAAGCACCGGCUAACUCUGUGCCAGCAGCCGCGGUAAUACAGAGGGUGCGAGCGUUAAUCGGAUUUACUGGGCGUAAAGCGUGCGUAGGCGGCUUCUUAAGUCGGAUGUGAAAUCCCUGAGCUUAACUUAGGAAUGGCAUUCGAUACUGGGAAGCUAGAGUAUGGGAGAGGAUGGUAGAAUUCCAGGUGUAGCGGUGAAAUGCGUAGAGAUCUGGAGGAAUACCGAUGGCGAAGGCAGCCAUCUGGCCUAAUACUGACGCUGAGGUACGAAAGCAUGGGGAGCAAACAGG
rnacentral:rRNA from 1 species